rnacentral:rRNA from 1 species
UACGUAGGGGCCGAGCGUUGUCCGGAGUUAUUGGGCGUAAAGCGCGCGCAGGCGGCCUCGCGCGCCCGACGUGAAAGCCCCCGGCUUAACCGGGGAGGGUCGUUGGGGACGGCGGGGCUUGAGGGCGGGAGAGGGCGGUGGAAUUCCCGGUGUAGUGGUGAAAUGCGUAGAGAUCGGGAGGAACACCUGUGGCGAAAGCGGCUUCCUGGUCCAGCACCGACGUUCAGGCACGAAAGCGUGGGGAGCAAACAGG